rnacentral:lncRNA from 10 species
CCCUCCAGCCCUGCCUUCCCGAUCCGCGUAGGUGCGUCCGUCCACCUAAGGGUCCUCAAGAUUUCCUGUGUAUCAGAGCCUGUCUUCCCUCUCCUCCAAGAAGCCUUCCUUACCAGGCAAGUCUCAGACCCUCCUUGGGCUCUUCUUUGCCCCUACCGCCCAGGCCUGGGAGGGUCAGCUAGUUUUGGGGUGCCUGUCGGGAUGUCCUCCAAUGUGACCCCCCCGCCCCCGGAGAAAGACCAGGAAGGGGAUGGUGGUGCUUACAGGACAGAGGCAACUUAAAAUAUCAGACUGCCUGGCUCCAGUCCCUGCUGUGCCACAGCUCUGUGAGCUUGGGUAAGUGGCUCAGCCUCUCUGAGCUUCAGCUUCUUCAUCUGCACAAGGGAACAAUAGUACCGGCCCCCAGGUCUCUUCACAGCAGCAUUAAAUAAAAAU